CAGUCGCCGCGGUAAUACGGAGGGGGCUAGCGUUGUUCGGAAUUACUGGGCGUAAAGCGCACGUAGGCGGCUUGGUAAGUUAGAGGUGAAAGCCCGGAGCUCAACUCCGGAAUUGCCUUUGAGACUGCCGAGCUAGCAGGUGAGAGAGGUAAGUGGAAUUCCGAGUGUAGAGGUGAAAUUCGUAGAUAUUCGGAAGAACACCAGUGGCGAAGGCGGCUUACUGGCUCAUACUGGACGCUGAGGUGCGAAAGCGUGGGGAGCAAACAGGAUUAGAUACCCCUGUAGUCCCUGUCUCUUAUAC
rnacentral:rRNA from 1 species